GCAGAGGUUGCAGUGAGCCGAGAUCGUGCCAUUGCACUCCAGCCUGAGUAACGGAGCGAGACUCUGUCUCAAAAAAAAAAAAAAAAAAAAAAAAAUCCUAACUUUUUUAGUUUCAACUGAGAUAUGCCACUGUAGAAGUGAAAGUAAUUUCACAUUUAAGAAAUGCUUCAACUUGGUAAUUAAUAUGGUCAUACAGGGACUUGGUAUAGCAUGCAAGGAAGCAGAAGACCUGGGCUUUUGUCCAAGUUCUGCCACUUAGUUAUCAGCUGUGUUGUAACCUUGAAUAAGUCACUUACUCUUUCUGACUCUUAGUUUCCUCAUUUGUAAAUUUGGAUUAAAGUGUUUAUUAUGAUAAUCAACUAAGAAAAACAAUCUAUUAACACUUCAUACAUACAGAGAACUUAUCAUUAAGUUAAAACUGGUAAUUAACGAAUGCACCUUUAUAUAUAUUUUUAAAUGAAAACUAAUACUAUUCAUGGUGUUUAUUUUAUAUCAAAUAUAUGCCUAGAGGCAUGCUACUUUAAAAAUCCGAGGAAUCUCCAACAAGGUGCUGGAUUAAAAUCAGAAUUCGUGCUUGAAGUGGAAGAAAAAUGAGGUUGUUUAUGGAUAAGAGAGUGACAAUGUGUAUCCUCAAGUACGUUAAGAUGAUUUAACUGAAAGAUGGCUUUAGGUUUUUCUUGAAGAAUUAGGAAAGUACCAUCCCCACAGAUUCUGCAUACUCUUCAGGUACUAUAUAAAGGUGAAGGAAGUCAUGGAAUUAAAAUGACUUAGAAACUCCCCAGGGAACUUGUCAGGCGAAUGAGGUGGUUAGAAGGGUGAGAAUGCACAAAGACAGCUGCUCUGGGUUGGGUAACAACAGCUUGCUUGGUAGAGAGAAGCUACUGUAGGAAAGGAGGCUCCACCAGACGUCUGCAACAGACAAGAUUCUUUCUGCCUUUUUCAAAAGAUGCUCUCUGCAGCAGUAAGACUAUAGGUAGAGUUGAUUGGAAUAAUCAUGUGACCCAGUAUGCUACUGCUAGGCGUAAUUAUCAAAAAUUCAUUUUUCUCAUUAAAUAUUAAUACAGAGAGAAGCUAGAGCUCACCAGUCUUUUCCUGGUGUCCUAGACCUUCCUCUAAAGCAGUCUUGGGGAGCUUGAGCCUCAGAUCUUUAGCCUAGACAGAGUGUCGCUGGUAAAGAAAGGAGACACAGUUGAAACCCAGAGUGGGCAGUGAUUUGCGUGGGGAGACACAGUGGAUCUGGGGCCUCUGACACUUUGCUUCCUAAAACAGUCCCCGGUUUUUGGCUUGCCCUAUGGGAUGAUUUGCUGUGCUUCCUUGAAACCAGGUGGAAAGAAAGGGGAAGAAUUAAUUUUCUCAUUCUGUUGCUGUUGAACGUAAUGUAAUCUUAAUACUGUAGCCUUCCUAGAAGCCCUUCCCUCUUUUCCAUGCUAUAAAGUCAAAUAUUUGAUACCCUUAGCAUAAAUUUUAAAAAUUAAGGUCAUUAGGAAGCAAAUGUCUAUUUCCAAAGCAAUUAGCUUGUUGUGACUGACUGUGAUUUUAUUCUUCUAUAGUAUUUUUUCCCUCAUUUUAAUUGAGAGAAAAUAAUACUCUUUUGCAAUAUCCUUAGAUUCUCCCCCUCACCCUGGUGCCCCUUCUAGUGUCUUGAGACUUUGUCUUAACAAGUAUAACGUUACAUUUUGUUGUUAAAACCUUUUCGAAACUAUAUUCAGUGAUUCUUCCAAGUUUAUCUGCUCUGCACUAUUUCACUAAUAAAUCCUGGCUACCACGUAGCCCUUGACCUCCAAGUAGUUUACCUAUGCAAGACAUGUGACACUCUGAAUUCACUUCUCUUUCUUUCAGAAACUAGUCAUAAAUGGAGCUUAAUUAUAAAGGUAAAACUUGUCUCCAGCCAGUUUUAUUUUGACCAGUUCCUUUUCAAAAUGUCAGCUGUUUUCUCCAAGAUUUUUCACCAAAACAGUGAUCAUAAGUGCUCAAAAAUAUAAUACUUUGCAGGCAUAAAAUAACCCAGACAUACUCUCAUAUUUCUUUGAUGUAUUUUGGUUGGUAAAACUUACCAGCAUUAAAUGUAAAAUAUAAUGAGGAGUUAAUUCCUUACCUAGUAUCAUUUCUUCCUUCUAAGAUUCAUAAGUAACCAUUUAUUUUUACAAAACUAUGUAUAACUUCCACAUUAUAGUCAGGAACCUGAGGUGUAACUUGCUAAGUGAACCCCAAGGUUAUUUUAUCUUGCAAAAGAAACCUAAACCAAACUAAGGGCCUUACAGUUUACAGUUAGAUUGAAUCAAAAGCUAUAACCUCAAUUUUUCCAAAAACAGCUUCUGACUGCAAAAGCAAGUCAUACAGUUGUUAGGUAUGAAAUAGCACUGAUCAGGAAAUGCAUCUUCACAGAUGGGAUUUCCUUCAGAAAAGACUUUUCUACUUUUAAUAGAAAUUAAGCCAUAACAGUUUCAUGCUGUGGAAAGAGGGUGAAAAGGUUCAUUUUAAGAGAUUAUAUAAUAUGAACUUUCACAUUUACUGUGAAAUGUCUAACUUUGCCAGUGCUUCAGCAAGGUUUUUUGGGGGGUGAUGGGGAGGGGUAGUAUUGGUUUUAGGGGUUUCAAAUCUGUGAAAUUUGGAGAGGGGACAGUUGUUGGCUCUGGUAUUUACUAGUUUUGUAGGAACGUUUUGCUAGCCUGACUGACUUUUCUUACUGAUUUUUAUGCCCACGGUCUGAGGGGACUGUUCUCCUUGUUUGGGGUGUCUGCGGAAUAGUGUCUCGUCUGUUUGUAUAGGCAGUCAGUGUGUGUGACGUGUGUCCUUUCAGUCCGGAAGCCCACUGUGUGACAAUGGCAUGGGGUGUGGCUGGGAGGUGGGGUGCUGAAGCUUGAAGAGCAUUUCUUUGCUGAUUCAUAACAGUAUUUCCCAUCUUUUGCCUGCAGGCAGGGAAAGUGUACAGUAUUUAUUUUGUUUCUGUUUUACUUUAAAUUUGUAAGUCUUUAAGUAGCUUACAUUGAUUAUUAUAGGGGAGGACAAGUGACUUGUUUAAAGUUGUAUUUAGUAUUCUUUGCAAUUUCUGUAUUUUAAAAUAUUGAAAUUAAAAUUGUAUUACUUCUGUUUUGAUUUUUUUAGCACUCAGUGUAUUUUUUGCUCAUUUUGUUUGAAAGUAUAAAUGUUGAAACUUGUAUAAAAUGCGUCCU
ensembl:lncRNA